GUACUCAACUUGGCAGCAUAUCCACUAAAACUGGAAUAAUACCGAGAGGAUUAACAUGGCCCAUGUGCAAGGAUGACAGGCAAAUUUGUGAGGUAUUCCAUAUUUUU
rnacentral:snRNA from 1 species